rnacentral:rRNA from 1 species
UACGUAGGGGGCAAGCGUUGUCCGGAUUUACUGGGCGUAAAGAGCGCGCAGGCGGUCGGUCAAGUCGAGUGUGAAAGCCCCCGGCUCAACUGGGGAGGGUCAUUCGAUACUGAUCGACUCGAAGGCAGGAGAGGGUAGUGGAAUUCCCGGUGUAGUGGUGAAAUGCGUAGAUAUCGGGAGGAACACCAGUGGCGAAGGCGACUACCUGGCCUGUUCUUGACGCUGAGGCGCGAAAGCUAGGGGAGCAAACGGG